GGGCUUAGCACACGGCCUCCAGGGGCCUGCGCCAUAUUGGCUUGGUGCCAUAGUGACUCAGCAGGAAUCUUAGUGAGGCCAGAAACCGAUCAGGAAGCAUUUGGGGAGGGCUUGCAAGAAUCACUUUAUAAAAUCCUCUGGAGUCCCGUGGAAUUCAGCAAAAGUGCUUUGCCUAACUCCUCACAAGUUCAGCCAGCCAACGUGCUGCUUCAGACAUGUUCUGGAGAAAAUCCUUCACGAGUGAGAAGCACACUGUGAUUUAUUAAGAGGCAGCUACAAGUGUUCGAGGGCUUUUUCUGAAAGUGCUCAUCAUGAAAGCAACAGGCACACUUUGGUGCUACCAUCAAAAGGGACUGUUCAGGCGAGGUGUGGUGGCAGACGCCUGUAGUACCAGAGACUUGGGGGAUGAGGCAGGAAGAUCAACAGUUCAAGGUCACCUGGGUAAGUUACUGAAAUCCUGUGUUUAAAAACGGCU
rnacentral:lncRNA from 1 species